AAGUUACUCCCUCCAUUCAGAAUUACUUGUCACAAAAAUGGAUGUAUCUACAACUAAAAUACAUCUAGAUACAUUCAUUUCUUCGACAAGUAAUUCCGAACGGAGGGAUUACAAU
rfam:Triticum aestivum genome assembly, contig: Triticum_aestivum_CS42_TGACv1_scaffold_570006_7AS